rnacentral:tRNA from 1 species
GCCGCGUUGGCUCAAUGGUAGAGCGUCGCCCUCCUACUUACUGAAAUUCAGCCUUGAGUUUCAGAUAAGAAGACAGGCGAAGGCUGCGAGUUCGAGUCUCGUGCGUGGUA